UAGGGAAUCUUCGGCAAUGGACGAAAGUCUGACCGAGCAACGCCGCGUGAGUGAAGAAGGUUUUCGGAUCGUAAAACUCUGUUGUUAGAGAAGAACAAGGACGUUAGUAACUGAACGUCCCCUGACGGUAUCUAACCAGAAAGCCACGGCUAACUACGUGCCAGCAGCCGCGGUAAUACGUAGGUGGCAAGCGUUGUCCGGAUUUAUUGGGCGUAAAGCGAGCGCAGGCGGUUUCUUAAGUCUGAUGUGAAAGCCCCCGGCUCAACCGGGGAGGGUCAUUGGAAACUGGGAGACUUGAGUGCAGAAGAGGAGAGUGGAAUUCCAUGUGUAGCGGUGUAAUGCGUAGAUAUAUGGAGGAACACCAGUGGCGAAGGCGGCUCUCUGGUCUGUAACUGACGCUGAGGCUCGAAAGCGUGGGGAGCAAACAGG
rnacentral:rRNA from 1 species